rnacentral:rRNA from 1 species
CCCUUAGAUGUUCUGGGCCGCACGCGUGCUACACUGAGUAAUUCAAUGGGUAAGGGAACGCUAGAGCAUUACCUAAUCUUGAAAUUUGCUCGUGAUGGGGAUCGACGGUUGCAAUUUUCCGUCGUGAACGAGGAAUACCUUGUAGGCGCAUGUCAUCAUCAUGCGCCGAAUACGUCCCUGCCCUUUGUACACACCGCCCGUCGCUCCUACCGAUUGAGUGAUCCGGUGAGGCUCUGGGACCCGGACGGAAAGAGCGUUUCGCUUGUUCUGUUUGGGAAACUUGGUCGAACCUUAUCAUUUAGAGGAAGGAGAAGUCGUAACA